rnacentral:lncRNA from 1 species
AUCAAAUUAUAUCAAUCUAUUUAGAUCUCUCUCAAGAAGUCUACCUGGGGCUUAUGUUAGGAACUCAGAGAACUCUUCAGUCAAAAAAGGUCAGUUCUGCUGCCAGAUAUCAGGUGAAGAGGUAACCAGAGGGUCAGUUUCACUGUCACUGCUUCUGUCAAAGCUUCAUUGGGUCACUGCUGAAAACUCUCCCUGCAAGUAUCUUAGAACCCUGAGAUUGCCAUUGAAACAGACCCCACUAGCCAGCAGAAUGAAAAGAGACAUGUCACCUUCAUCAUCAUACCUCAUAGUGAUUGAGGACUUUAAGAUGAGGCAGUUUCCAGCAACCUAUCAGAGAAACGUGAGCAAGCCCAAGCCGUGAUCAGCCAAGCCUGGCCCAGAUCAGCAGAAUCACUCAGCUGCCAGUGACCAAAACUAUGGAAAGCAAAACCAAAGAUGAGGGGGAACUACUGUAAUAUGAAACAUUCAUAUAAGUGAGCUACUUAGAGAAGACCAAAGAGACCUGAAAUCCAAAGUGACAAGAAGUCAGAACAACAAAAGAACAUAUAUCUCAGAAAUGAUAGAUU